rnacentral:lncRNA from 1 species
UUUUAGCUCGGUUGAUCUCCUUCUGCUCGGCUCUCGUAAAAAGGGAUAAUCUCUUCGAUGUCGAUUGGUUAAUAUGAGGAUGCGGCUCCGAGAUCCAGCUCUCUGCAAAAAGAGAAAUCCUUAAUAGACAUCAUUCAUUUACUCGAGAACCUGGAAAGGUAGUGGAGACUUACGGUUGGCAAUCCGGUCUACAGAUUUCUGAAUCCUCUCUCGAGUAAAAUCCUCCCAGUGAUCUUGCUUCUGCAACGCAACAAUUCGAGCACUCUCCCUCCAAUCCUCGGGGUACGUGGCGAGAUUCGGG